rnacentral:misc_RNA from 1 species
UAAUGUGAAUAAGCAGAAUUCAGUGAAUCAUCGAAUCUUUGAACGCACCUUGCCGCUCCUUGGUAUUCCGAGGGAGCAUGCCUGUUUGAGUGUCAUUAAUAUAUAUAUCAAACUUCUCUUAUUGAGUGGUUUCGGAUGUGGGGGUUCUGCUGGACCUUUUUAACAAGGUCUCAGCUCUCCUGAAAUGCAUUAGCAGAACAAACCUGUGUCAUAUGGUGUGAUAACUAU